rnacentral:lncRNA from 1 species
GUAUAAUCAUUCAAGUAUCUAGAUCCUUCCAUGGACUAGUAUAAAUAUGUGAUGUUGUAACUCAUUUUGUAAUAAAGAAAAUCAAUAAAAUAACAAAAGCCUUCUUCAAUAUAAAGUUUUAUCUCCAUUCAAAUUCUCUACAUUUCCUAAACUCUUUUCUUCUCAUUCUAAAUAUUACUCUCCUUCUCCAACAAAUUUGGUAUCAGAGCCCGGGUUUAGCCUUGUGUUCCAUUACAAACCACCAUGGCAACACAAUCAUCUUCAUCAUCUUUAUUCAACUAUUCACAAAAUCNNNN